rnacentral:rRNA from 1 species
UACGAAGGGGGCGAGCGUUGUUCGGAUUUACUGGGCGUAAAGGGCGCGCAGGCGGCUAUCUUUGUCAGGCGUGAAAGCCCCGGGCUCAACCUGGGAAUGGCGCUUGGGACGGGGUGGCUAGAGAUCGGGAGAGGAGCGUGGAAUUCCCAGUGUAGAGGUGAAAUUCGUAGAUAUUGGGAAGAACACCGGUGGCGAAGGCGGCGCUCUGGACCGAUACUGACGCUGAGGCGCGAAAGCGUGGGGAGCAAACAGGAUUAGAUACCCUGGUAGUCCACGCUGUAAACGAUGUGUGCUAGACGUUGGGGAGCCUAGCUCUUCGGUGUCGCAGCUAACGCUUUAAGCACACCGCCUGGGGAGUACGGCCGCAAGGUUAAA